UACGGAGGGUGCAAGCGUUAUCCGGAUUCACUGGGUUUAAAGGGUGCGUAGGAGGGCAGGUAAGUCAGUGGUGAAAUCUCCAAGCUUAACUUGGAAACUGCCGUUGAUACUAUCUGUCUUGAAUACCGUGGAGAUGAGCGGAAUAUGUCAUGUAGCGGUGAAAUACUUAGAUAUGACAUAGAACACCAAUUGCGAAGGCAGCUCGUUACACGAAUAUUGACUCUGAGGCACGAAAGCGUGGGGAUCAAACAGG
rnacentral:rRNA from 1 species